rnacentral:rRNA from 1 species
UAGGGAAUCUUCGGCAAUGGGGGCAACCCUGACCGAGCAACGCCGCGUGAGUGAAGAAGGUUUUCGGAUCGUAAAGCUCUGUUGUAAGAGAAGAACGUGUGUGAGAGUGGAAAGUUCACACAGUGACGGUAACUUACCAGAAAGGGACGGCUAACUACGUGCCAGCAGCCGCGGUAAUACGUAGGUCCCGAGCGUUGUCCGGAUUUAUUGGGCGUAAAGCGAGCGCAGGCGGUUUAAUAAGUCUGAAGUUAAAGGCAGUGGCUUAACCAUUGUUAGCUUUGGAAACUGUUAAACUUGAGUGCAGAAGGGGAGAGUGGAAUUCCAUGUGUAGCAGUGAAAUGCGUAGAUAUAUGGAGGAACACCGGUGGCGAAAGCGGCUCUCUGGUCUGUAACUGACGCUGAGGCUCGAAAGCGUGGGGAGCAAACAGG